UGCCCAGCUGGGACUGGUUAUCUCAUCACCUGUCGUCUUUAUUAGCAGCAGCCGGUCUGAGACACAUUGUUGGAGUUGGAGACAGAGAGAAAGAGAGAGAGCACGAACAGAGAACUUGCCUUUUAGUAGUUUUUGGGGCUUUGUACACUUGAAGCUUUUCCUGGCCGACACACGACUUUGAAUGAUGGCGUCGGAGGACAAUUUGUGCGUUUGACUUCCUCCAGGCGACGACGCCCACAUCCAACAAAGCGGUGCAGAGAGCGCCGCUUGAGUCGUCAGGCUGAGAAUUUGCAGAAUGCCUCUCUUGGCGACAAGGACAGGUCAAAGGUCACUGCCUGCAGAUGUAAAGUCAGUACAGGAGUGAGGAAACUUGAACUGGGAGUAAACUCUGGCUGGAAUGAUGACCCAUGUUUUGAAAGUGAGGAAUGAAGAGCGUGAUUGGCGAGGACUACGGAGAUCACGGUCAGAGCAUGCGGGAUUUAAUCAAGACGAGAGGGUGAGAGAGGGAGGUUCUCUUCCUGGGCGCUUGAGCAUCGACAUCAUCAUCGUCAUCCUGGAGAACAGUAGGGUUCUGUAAAUGUUUAAUGCUUUCCAAACAGUGUCUGUGACAAGGCAGUAAAACGGCUGAUCAAAGAAAACAGAAGUCCUGGUCAUGGACCCACAAGCUUGACAGACUGAAUAAGUCGGUGAAU